rnacentral:rRNA from 1 species
CCGGCACGGGUGAGUAACACGUAUCCAACCUGCCGUCUACUCUUGGACAGCCUUCUGAAAGGAAGAUUAAUACAAGAUGGCAUCAUGAGUCCGCAUGUUCACAUGAUUAAAGGUAUUCCGGUAGACGAUGGGGAUGUGUUCCAUUAGAUAGUAGGCGGGGUAACGGCCCACCUAGUCUUCGAUGGAUAGGGGUUCUGAGAGGAAGGUCCCCCACAUUGGAACUGAGACACGGUCCAA